rnacentral:rRNA from 1 species
AACGAACGCUGGCGGCAUGCCUAACACAUGCAAGUCGAACGAGGCCCUUCGGGGUUUAGUGGCGCACGGGUGCGUAACGCGUGGGAAUCUGCCCUUAGGUUCGGAAUAACAGCUGGAAACGGCUGCUAAUACCGGGUGAUAUCGCGAGAUCAAAGAUUUAUCGCCUGAGGAUGAGCCCGCGUGGGAUUAGGUAGUUGGUGGGGUAAAGGCCUACCAAGCCGACGAUCCAUAGCUGGUCUGAGAGGAUGAUCAGCCACACUGGGACUGAGACCCGGCCCAGACUCCUACGGGAGGCAGCAGUGGGGAAUAUUGGACAAUGGGGGAAACCUUGAUCCAGCAAUGCCGCGUGGGAGAUGAAGGCCCUAGGGUUGUAAAGCUCUUUUACCCGGGAAGAUAAUGACUGUACCGGGAGAAUAAGCCCCGGCUAACUCCGUGCCAGCCGCCGCCGUAACAC